AUGAAUAAGAGUCCAAUUGCAAAUCAUCAGAAAUUCAGGGGCCAAUUGAAAUUCGCCAUAUCAGUUAAGGAACGAAACGGCCCAUUUUCAAAGAACACUAUUCAUCUACUUCGACUCAUCAGGCUAGGAAAACGGUCGCCUCGCCUGCCAGCUCGCCUCCACGAUGCGUCCCCAGCCAUUACUCCUGCAGAAAAAGUCCUACAAGGUCGCCUCAUUAUCUGGAGGCGACCGCAUGGCAUCCUCUGGCAUUAUAAAAGCCAGAGGAAGGGCCACGAACAUGGAGAGAGAAAAAAUUAAAGAACCAGAAGAGAGAGACGAAAGAGAAGGAACAAACACGAGAACAGGAGACCAGAAACCAGAGGACAGAGAGAGCGGAAAAGAAAAAAAAAACUGAGGGACGAACGAGAGGAGAAAACACAGAGAAGAUACAGAGAGGGGAGAGAACACGAAAAAAACCAGCAGAGAGAGAAGGGGACAAAGCGGAAAACACAGCAAAUAAAAAGAACAGAAAAGAAAGACGACAGGGCAGAAGAAGAGAGGAGGGAAUUUCAGAAUCCCAGAAAAAGUCCGCAGCGUCUUCGUCCAGAACGUCCCACAGCAAGCGUGCGUGAACAAGCUAAUGAGGCGCGGAGGAAACCACCAACAACAGUCCAGCAAUGGCAGGACUGUCGGUGUCCCAAUCCAACCAAGAUACGGAGUCUCAAGUUCUAUGUACACAUGAAGAUCAGUGUCCGGGGGAAGAUAAGGAUCAGUUUUGCGCACGAAAAGCCUAUAAAAGGCAGAGGACGCAACGAAUCCCGAGGAGGAAGAGAGAACAAAAAAAAAAGAAAAAAGAGGAAGAAGAAAGCGAAAUAGAAAAGAGACAGGGAGAAGUGACUAGAGGAGCAGGAACGGAGAGAACAAAA